GUUAUCGAUGGCGAUGCGUUCCAUUAGGCAGUUGGUGAGGUAACGGCUCACCAAACCUUCGAUGGAUAGGGGUUCUGAGAGGAAGGUCCCUCACAUUGGAACUGAGACACGGUCCAAACUCGUACGGGAGGCAGCAGUGUGGAAUAUUGGUCAAUGGGCGCAGGCGUGAACCAGCCAAGUAGCGUGAAGGAUGACUGCCGUAAGGGUUGUAAACUUCUUUUAUAUGGGAAUAAAGUUUUCCACGUGUGGAAUUUUGUAUGUACCAUAUGAAUAAGGAUGGGCUAACUCCGUGCCAGCAGCCGCGGUAAUACGGAGGAUCCGAGCGUUGUCCGGAUUUAUUGGGUUUAAAGGGAGCGUAGGUGGUCAGUUUAGUCAUUUGUGAAAGUUUGCGGCUCCACCGUAAAAUCGCAGUUGAUACUGCCUGUCUUGAGUACAGUAGAGGUGGGCGGAAUUCGUGGUGUAGCGGUGAAAUGCUUAGAUAUCACGAAGAACUCCGAUUGCGAAGGCAGCUCACUGGACUGCUACUGACGCUGAUGCUCGAAAGUGUGGGUAUCAAACAGGAUUAGAUACCCUGGUAGUCCAC
rnacentral:rRNA from 1 species